CCCGCGCACCGCUCCGUCGCCUUUGCCUUUCGGGGCAAGGGAGGAAAGUCCGGGCAGCAAAGGGCACCGUGCUUCCUAACGGGAAGGGGCGCCGCUGGCGACGGCGGCGUCACGGAAAGUGCCGCAGAAAGGGAGGUUGCCUGCAGGCCGAAAGGCCCUAGGCUGAGGCUUUGGCAAGGUCCGCCUUCGCCAAGGCUUCGGCGGGUAAAAGUGAAAAGGUGGGCCCGCCUUCGUGCGGGAUAGGCGCCUCGGCGCUCAAAGUAAGAGCCCACCAGUGCCUUGCGUGAGCAGGGCAGCUUGGUAAACCCCACGGGCUGAAAGGCCAAAUAGGCCGGGGUUCCCGCCUUCGGGCGGGAUAAGGGCGGCCCGUCCGAUCCCGGCGGGUAGGCUGAUCGAGGUGCCGCGCGAGCGGCAUCCCAGAUAAAUGGCGGAGCCCUGCAUGGCAACAUGCAGGGACAGGAUCCGGCUUAUAGGUGCGCGGGUAUU
rnacentral:RNase_P_RNA from 1 species